GACCACUCCGGUGGCCUAGUGGUUAGAACGUCCGCAUUGGAUGCGGAAGAUCGCAGGUUCGAACCCCGGCCGAGUCA